GCUCAUCUGGCAGAACGGUAAUGCCCCUUGUAACUGUGUCUCGACGAAAUACUGUUUCGUAGGUGGUUCCGGGUUCGAGUCAUGGGCUGAGCG